AAUAAACAUAUUUUAAAAAAGAAGAACCGCGACGGUAGCGCUGUUGAUAGCUGUUUCAUGAAGUUUAUUUAGUAUGGACCAGAGUGAGAGCUAGAAGAGCACAAGAGGGAAGAAGAAGGAGACUCGAGUCAGAACGAAGCAGAGUAGAGUCGGGACGUCGGGACCAGUCGGGACGUCGGGAACAGCAAGGGGAUCAAAAGAGAGCAAGCUAAACUGACUGUCAGUGUUGGUGUUGUGUUCUGCUGUUCUGCUGUUCUGUGUUGAGGGUGGAGAAAAUAUAUACCUACCUAACAUACUAACAUAUAUAGGUAUAUAUAAUAUAUAAUAUAUAAUAUAAAAUAUAUAAUAAUAGGAGAAUACAGCCUGUGUGCAGUUUACACAGAUAUUGUUGUAUAUUAUAUAGAGGAUGAUACAGGUAAAUAUAACAGCAAUUCGAGUAUUGGAGGCAAAGCCACAAGCAAUGUAAAGCCAGCUGCCAGUGACGGAUCACUAUGAGCUCUGAACUCUGGAGAAGCUCCGUUAGCUGUUAGCUGUUAGUCGGCAUACCAUUAUACACCUACUCGAUACUAAUAAAAUAACACUCAAGUUUAAUCAACUACUUAUCUAAUAAGUAUAAUUGUACUAAUUACAAUUAUAUCACUGAAUAGUGAUAUCUUCCAGUGUUUAUUAUCAUCAUCAUCAUCAUCAGAGAUAUUUAAUAUAAUAUAUUAUUUAUUAUAUUUGGAUACAUAAUUCUUUGAAACCUGAACCUCUUAUCGAUCAUCCCUGUGGCAGAAUGGACUCUGAACUGUGAUACUGAUUGUUGGAGUUGAAAUAAAAAAUAAUCUGGGCCACUUUGGAAUAUUUCGUUGAGGGUGAUGAAAUAUUCAAGUUAUUGGUUAAUAAAAUAGUAUUGGUGGUAUUUUGAAUUAAAAAAUAAUCAUACGGCUGGUUGGGUUAAGGGGUUCGGAUCAUUGAUUAAUUGGAUUUACGAGGACCAAGACUGAAAGAGAGGAUGAUGUGCCUGAGACCCAAUCGAAGAAAAUGCAACCACACAUCUGUCAUAUUUUGUCACUACCUAUGAUUUUAUUGUGGUUGAAGCUUUGAACACAUUGCACAUGCUGUUCGUCGGUUCCUGACGAUCCAAGGACGUAUGUGAAAUGGGUAGUUCUUGGUGGCAAUGCACUGCAUGUUUGAGAGCACAGGAAGAAGACAUUUGUGAAUUACAACUUAAUCAUUGCAAUCUUUAUGAUGUACCACCAGAUGUGUUCAUUUAUGAGAGGACACUGGAAAUGCUUUAUCUUGAUGCCAAUAGAAUAAAGGAUUUACCGAGGCCAUUAUUUCAGUGUCAUGAAUUACGCGUAUUGUCAUUAAGUGACAAUGAAAUUACAACAUUACCACCCGCCAUAGCGUCACUCAUUAAUCUUGAGAGUUUAGAUCUCAGUAAAAAUAGUAUAAAAGAAUUACCAGAUAAUAUUAAAGAAUGUAAAAAUUUACGUUCAAUAGACUUGAGUGUAAAUCCAUUCGAGCGUUUUCCCGAAGCAAUAACACACAUAACAGGCUUACGUGAAUUAUAUAUAAAUGACGCGUAUAUUGAGUACUUACCAGCAAAUUUUGGACGGCUAUCAGCUCUAAAAACUCUUGAGCUUAGAGAAAACAACAUGAUGACAUUACCAAAAUCGAUGAGCCGUCUGGUAAAUCUUCAGCGUCUGGAUAUCGGGAACAAUGACUUCACAGAAUUACCUGAGGUGGUUGGCGAUCUGACAAAUUUAACCGAGUUGUGGAUUGACGGGAAUGACAUCCGGCGUAUUCCAGCUAACAUCGAGCAAUUGUACCGGCUGAAUCAUUUCGAUUGCACGAUGAACUCGAUUGACAGUGUUCCUGCGGAAAUUCAGGGCUGGCGUGAUAUAUCGAUAAUAAAUUUUUCUUCAAAUGAGAUUCUCCAAUUACCCGACUCGCUCUGUUAUUUACGUACAAUAGUAACAUUAAAAAUAGACGAUAAUCAAUUAAAUUCACUGCCAGACGACAUUGGACAGAUGUCGAGCUUGGAGGAGUUGAUAGUUACGAAAAAUUUUCUCGAGUAUUUACCAUCUUCGAUAGGGCUGCUCCGUAAAUUGCACUGUUUAAAUGCUGAUAAUAAUUAUCUACGUUCGAUACCACCGGAGAUCGGCAGCUGCAGUGCGUUAUCACUUCUGUCGCUCAGGUCUAACAAUAUAACAAGUGUGCCGCCGGAAAUCGGACAUUUAUCCUCCCUCUGUGUCCUAAAUCUCGUCAAUAAUUGCAUACAGUUUUUACCAGUCUCGAUGCUUAAUUUAAAUAAUUUAAAGGCGCUUUGGCUGAGCGACAACCAGAGCCAGCCGUUGGUACCUCUACAACAGGAGUUUAAUCACGAGGAAGACAUGAUGAUACUCAGUUGUUUUAUGCUACCUCAGAAGCAGCGUAAGGAUCUUGAACAAAUGGAGCAAGCAGUGGGACCAAUUUCCGGUUCAAUUGUUGGAACUGGAAGAAGAAUAUGUUUUGCCACGGAAUUAGAAACAGAGGUCCCGAGACAAUUACAUCGUGCACCUACCCCGUAUCCUAAAGAGCUGCGUAAUUUAGCCCGCCAUGCGCGUAAUCUUCAUCACCAGUCUAUACAUGAUCAAAGAAUUCAUAUGGAGCGAGAGGGUAUGAUAAAAGAAGCUGUUGUUGCUAAAGCAACGCCUAUGAUUAACUCUUCUAUUAAUCAUAAUUCAUACCACGAGAACUUAUAUAUAAUGUCAAGAGAUGAAAUGAAUCCAAAACAAAACCAAGUGGACGGUCCAAGUCCAGAUUACUCCGAAGAAAGUCGUCCAGUGCUGGCAUUGGAAAAGUCAUCUCUUGAAAUACGAGAAGCCAAGUGCAUACGAAACUCUCAAACAAACGAGAGUUUAUCACGACCGCCUACGAUCGCGGAUUACGUCAGCUCAACUUGGAAACCCGAGGAGUACUCCAGGACAAAUACGGCUAAAAUCGUUGAGUCUGAAAAGUUAGCAGAGUCUUACAAGAGUCCCAACGACAGCAACGGGGUCGAGUCUUUGGGAAAUAGUAAACCGGGUAGUGAAGUUCCAUUGGCACCACCCCCUUAUCACAUCGCUGCGGCGUUCUCCAAGCAGGCUGCCUUUUUUCAGCAAUUGAAUAGACUCAAUGCUGACACCGAUGCCAGAGGUAUCGGAGGAGGUCAAAGAAGAGGAGGAGGAGGAGGCGGAGGAGAAGGAAUUGGAGAUUGUGGUAGAGGAGGAUUAAUUCCGUACCAUAAUGACAAUCAUUUAUCGAGUUCAUUUAGAAGUAAGGAGAACCGUUUGAUAAAUAUUAACAGCACCAGCAGCAGCAACAGCAGCAGAAAUAGCAAUAGCAAUAUCAGUAAUACUGAUGACGUUGUUGACGGUAACUGCGGCGGCGGCGGCGGGAGUAUUGUUGACACCUCGUCGGUUAUUAAUGUUAAUAUUAAUAAUAAUAAUAAUAAUAACAAUAGUAAUAGUAAUAAUGAUCAAGAUAACCGUAAUUUUAUAUUUCGCCAAGAUAAACCCAGUAGGAUACCAAUAAUGCGUAGUAUUAAAAGUCCCGAGUGUUCUAUUUCGUUGUCUGACAAUGAUUCUGUUUCGAUAAACGAGAGAAAUGUUUAUUCAAGUCAAGAUGACUACGACAGAUAUCAGCUCUCCUGUUCUCGGGAUAAGAGUCACAGUGACAUAAAUAACUGCACCCCGACGUCACCUAUUACGGGUAGAAAAUAUCGCAGCCCAUUGUCCUCCGCUCACAAUCAGCUAAGACAUUCAGAUCGUUCUUGGAGAUUAAAUGGCAAUAAAGAUGAAAUAUCAUCACCCUCUUCACCAGUCAUACCAAUGUCUAUGCCGAUGGUUCACCAAAAUGAUGGCUCAACAAACCAUCCUUACACACCCUCACUUUCACUCGAUAAUUCUAUUGAAUUUCACAGUGAUAAAAAUAACUCAGGUCGUAGUACUCCUGUAUCUCUUUCUGUAUCUAAUAAUAUUAAUUGUUCAUUCAGUAAUAGUGGCUCUGAUAUUUAUAAAUCAAAAUCCAAAAUUAAGUGGAUGUUUGGUCAGCAUAAGAAUGUUAAUGUGAUACCAGUAAAGGUUAGAAAAAAUCCCGGGCUUGGUUUCAGCAUCGCUGGCGGUAUAGCAGGAAAUCAAACUGGAAUAAUAGUUACGAAAGUAAAUCCAGACGGACCAGCCCAAGGGACGCUCCGUCCCGGUGAUAAAAUCUUACAAGUUGAUGGAAUUGAUUUUUCAAACUCAGAUCACGAUCGUGCGGUUGCUAUUUUAAGGUCAACUGGCGAAGUUGUUACAAUGAUGAUCAGUCGGCAUCAAUGAAUAAAAAAUAUAAUAAAAUAAAUUAAAAAAGCAAGAUAAACAAUUAUAAGCAUGUUAUCGAAUUAACUAUAAUGGUUGAUUUUUGGGUAGUCUGCAGUCAAAGACAUCCUCCCAGUAUUCUCCGAACCAGGGAUUUCGCUUGUUAGUGCUCGGAGUCAAAGAUUGCAUGUACUCAUCAAAGCUUGGAAUGGUUUUAGAUUGCAAUUCAACG